UUUAGGUGUGGAACUCCCAAAACUAGGUCGUUAUUGGGAAAAAAUCAAUUACAUGUGUUUUUUUCUUUUUACGAAUCACAUAUUUUUUCCAUCCAAAUCAACUUCCCAAAAUUUGCUUUUCUUCCCUCUUCUGCGAUAUUGGUUUCCUUCCUUAUCCAUCAUUGUGUUUUUCUUCAAACUCCUCCUUCAUUCAAUUUCAACUCACUUUUUUUCAGAUAAUCAUUCUUCGUGUUGGAUCUUGACAACUUUUUUUUUUCCGGAAGAUUAUGUUUCCAAGAUCACCGUGUUCUUCCCAGCUCUGCCCUAAAUUGGUUCCUGUCUCAAUGGAGUAGUGUAGAAUACUAGGAGCAAACACGAAGAUGGUGAAGAAAUUAAACAUAUUCUAAGCUAUUUAGUUUAAUUAUUGUUGUAAUUUUUUUUUUCGUUCUUCAAGUUUUAUCACAAUUUUAGGAAGUGGAUGUGCAUUAUUCAAGUUUUAUGCCCUUGAAUGUGUUUUUCUUAUUAAUGAAGUGUACUUCAUUUUUCUUUUUGGUUAUCACAAUAUCUCGUUAAAGAUGGCAUUAUAGUUUCA